GGAGAUGUAAGCGGAAGCAGCGGGGCGGGGAUGGUGUACGGUGAGGGCACGGGCAAGGGGGAAAUCCUGUGAUGCUGCAGCCCCUCUCUGGAGGAGUUCAUCUGUAACGAGAUGGAACGGAAACUCCUUGUUCUUUUCGGCAGCCAAACUGGGACAGCUCAAGACACAGCUGAGAGAAUUGGCAGAGAAGCCAAGCGACGCCACUUUCAGUGCAGAGUGGAGGCGCUGGACAGCUAUGACGUGGCCAACCUCAUCAAUGAGCUGUUGGUGAUAUUUGUCUGUGCAACCACUGGCCAGGGUGACCCACCUGACAACAUGAAGAUGUUCUGGCGGUUUCUGUUCCGGAAGAACCUACCGCCUGGUUCCCUCUGCCAGCUGGACUAUGCUGUGCUGGGCCUUGGUGACUCCUCCUAUCCCAAGUUUAAUUUUGUUGCGAAGAAGCUGCACAAACGGGUGCUACAGCUUGGGGGCAACCCUCUGCUGCCAGUGGCGUUGGGAGACGACCAGCAUGACUUAGGGCCAGAUGCAGUGGUAGAUCCAUGGCUCCUGGCCUUAUGGGACAAGAUCCUUGCCUUGUAUCCUCUUCCUCCUGGCCUUGAGAUCAUCAGUCCAGAUGUACGCCCGCCCCCCAAAUACACCCUGCACUACCUGGCUGAGGACUCCCCGUACCCCAAUGAUGGCCUGCUCCAGCCAAUAGCACCUAGAGCUGUUCCCUCUGAGCUGCAUCCCUUUGCUGCCCGGGUGGUGUCCAAUCAACGGGUCACGGCAGAAUCCCAUUUCCAGGAUGUCCGGCUCAUCGAAUUCGAUGUCACAGGCUCGGGGAUCAUGUUCAGUGCUGGGGAUGUGGUGAUGAUCCAGCCCCAGAACUGCCCUGAAGAUGUGCAGCAGUUCUGCCAGCUCCUGCACCUGGAUCCAGACAGAUGCUUUGUGUUGAAGCCCACGGAGCCUGAUGCAUCCCUCCCUGCCCUCUUGCCACAGCCCUGCACCAUCCGGCACCUGGUCACCCACUACCUGGACAUCUCCUGUGUGCCACGGCGCUCCUUUUUCGAGCUCUUGUCUUACUUCUCUACGAAUGAGCUGGAGCGGGAGAAGCUACAGGAGUUCAGCUCUGCGCAGGGCCAGGAAGAGCUGUACAGCUACUGCAACCGGCCCCGCAGGACCACUCUCGAGGCCCUCUGGGAUUUCCCCCACACUACAUGUGCCAUUCCACCUGAAUACCUGCUGGACCUCAUCCCUCGCAUCAGACCCCGCGCCUUCUCCAUCGCCUCCUCCAUGCUGGCUCACCCUGAUCGGAUCCAGAUCCUCAUGGCAGUAGUGCGGUACAAGACACAGCUCAGUAAACCCCGCCGUGGUCUCUGUUCUACCUGGUUGGCUUCUCUCAACCCAGAGCAAGGUGAUUUCCGGGUACCUCUCUGGGUAAAGAAAGGAGGAAUGAAGUUCCCAGCUGACCCUGACACCCCUGUGAUCAUGAUUGGCCCUGGCACAGGGGUGGCACCUUUCCGAGCAGCGAUACAGGAGCGGGUAGCACAAGGACGUAGAGGGAACUGCUUGUUCUUUGGCUGCCGCCAGAAAUCCAAGGACUUCUACUGCCAGGCGGAGUGGGAAGAGCUGGUGACAAAGGGCUUCCUGACACUCUUCACUGCCUUCUCCAGGGACCAGUGAAGGGGGCACCUGCUGUUCCCCAAAUCUGGAGAGUGGCCCCAGAGUCUCCUCCUGCCCUCACAGACUCUGGAGGGAUGGGACUCACAUCGGAGUGUGCCUCCCAGCCUCCCUGCUUUGCCUGCUCCAUGGGGCAAAGCAGUUUGUCAUGAGGGUCUUCUGCCACCGAGUCCUUGCAGGGAGGCAAGCAAGAGCACAGCCAGGAGGAGAAGGUUUAUGUUCAGCACCGCAUCCAGGAGAACCAAAGGCUGGUGUGGGAGCUGCUGAACAGCAGGAACGCUCACAUCUACCUGGCUGGGAAUGCCAAGCAGAUGCCAGCGGCGGUGGCCGAAGCCCUGCAGUUGGUGUUGCAGCUGGAAGGUGGCCUGUCACCCUCCGAAGCAGAGGAGCAUUUAAUAGCCCUGGAACGGUCCCAGCGCUUCCAGUCUGAAACCUGGUCGUAAGCUGGCUCCCUGCCUCUGCCUUCCCUGCAAACUCUGCCUGAAUAAAGGAGCCAGCAAAACGA